UGCGCAGGCGGUUUUGUAAGUCAGAUGUGAAAUCCCCGAGCUCAACUUGGGAACUGCGUUUGAAACUACAAGACUAGAAUAUGUCAGAGGGGGGUAGAAUUCCACGUGUAGCAGUGAAAUGCGUAGAGAUGUGGAGGAAUACCAAUGGCGAAGGCAGCCCCCUGGGAUAAUAUUGACGCUCAUGCACGAAAGCGUGGGGAGCAAACA
rnacentral:rRNA from 1 species